GGCCAGACUCCUACGGGAGGCAGCAGUGGGGAAUAUUGCACAAUGGGGGAAACCCUGAUGCAGCGACGCCGCGUGAGUGAAGAAGUAUUUCGGUAUGUAAAGCUCUAUCAGCAGGGAAGAAGAAGGACGGUACCUGAAGAAGAAGCCCCGGCUAACUACGUGCCAGCAGCCGCGGUAAUACGUAGGGGGCAAGCGUUAUCCGGAUUUACUGGGUGUAAAGGGGGCGCAGACGGCGAUGCAAGCCAGGAGUGAGAGCCCGGGGCCCAACCCCGGGACUGCUCUUGGAACUGCGUGGCUAGAGUGCAGGAGGGGCAGGCGGAAUUCCUAGUGUAGCGGUGAAAUGCGUAGAUAUUAGGAGGAACACCGGCGGCGAAGGCGGCCUGCUGGACCGCGACUGACGUUGAGGCUCGAAAGCGUGGGGAGCGAACAGGAUUAGAUACCCUGGUAA
rnacentral:rRNA from 1 species